UACGUAGGGGGCAAGCGUUGUCCGGAUUUAUUGGGCGUAAAGAGCGUGUAGGCGGUUUGGUAGGUCCGUUGUGGAAACUCGAGGCUCAACCUCGAGACGGCGGCGGAAACCAUCAGGCUAGAGUCCGGAAGAGGAGAGUGGAAUUCCUGGUGUAGCGGUGAAAUGCGCAGAUAUCAGGAAGAACACCCGUGGCUAAGGCGGCUCUCUAGUACGGUACUGACGCUGAGACGCGAAAGCGUGGGGAGCGAACAGG
rnacentral:rRNA from 1 species